rnacentral:rRNA from 1 species
UACGUAGGGGGCAAGCGUUGUCCGGAUUUAUUGGGCGUAAAGAGCGUGUAGGCGCCAGACAGGUCCGUUGUGAAACUCGAGGCUCAACCUCGAGACGCCGAUGGAAACCGUCUGGCUAGAGUCCGGAAGAGGAGAGUGGAAUUCCCGGUGUAGCGGUGAAAUGCGCAGAUAUCGGGAAGAACACCCGUGGCUAAGGCGGCUCUCUAGUACGGUACUGACGCUGAGACGCGAAAGCGUGGGGAGCGAACAGG